UCCCUCGUGGUCCAGUGGCUAGAACUCUGUGUUUCCAAUGCAGGGGAUCCAGGUGCAAUCCCUGGUCAGGGAA
rnacentral:tRNA from 1 species